AACGAACGCUGGCGGCAUGCCUAACACAUGCAAGUCGAACGAGACCUUCGGGUCUAGUGGCGCACGGGUGCGUAACGCGUGGGAACCUGCCCUUAGGUUCGGAAUAACUCCCCGAAAGGGGUGCUAAUACCGGAUAAUGUCUUCGGACCAAAGAUUUAUCGCCUUUGGAUGGGCCCGCGUUGGAUUAGCUAGUUGGUAGGGUAAAAGCCUACCAAGGCGACGAUCCAUAGCUGGUCUGAGAGGAUGAUCAGCCACACUGGGACUGAGACACGGCCCAGACUCUUACGGGAGGCAGCAGUGGGGAAUAUUGGACAAUGGGCGAAAGCCUGAUCCAGCAAUGCCGCGUGAGUUAUGAAGGCCUUAGGGUUGUAAAGCUCUUUUAACCGGGAUGAUAAUGACAGUACCGGGAGAAUAAGCUACGGCUAACUACGUG
rnacentral:rRNA from 1 species